GCAGGCAAAGUCAAGUUGAAUUCACUUGUGGCAGACGUGAGGAAGUUUUGGGUAAUCACCAUCAGCAGCAAGUAAGAGUGAAAAUGAGAUGGACCACAACUUCUCCAAGCACUGAGCUUGUGUAUCUGUUUCUUUUCCUCCUUCAUUCAUAAGCAUGGUAUCAUUCAUUAUUGACAUGGCCUACUCCACAGAGAACAUUCAAAGAGAAGAGAUUGUACUAAUGUCUUAAUAGUUUUAGGGUUUCUUUAAUAAUAGGUGAAGUGGAUAUAUAUAUAUAUAUAUGCAUAUAUAAUAUACAUAUCAUAUAAAAUUUUAUAUGCCUUGAGAGACUAUUAAAGAGUUUGUAUGGUUUCUGUUUGUGGAGUUUAAUCUUACUUUUAAUUUAUGUCAUCAAGUCCCCCAUUGUAAAUGAAUUUUCUUAUAAUAAUGUUUUUGUUAGGUUCUAUCAAGUGGUGUGCUAGAGAGGAAUCGUAAUACUUUGCCCAACCCAUUUUCUUCAGAAGAUUAUAAUGCAAGCAAAACUAAAGUGUGUCUCCCAAAGUUGUCCUUUGUGAAAUGAGGAUAGCCAGCGCAUCACCCCUCAUGCAUUCUAAAGGUUGCUCUUGCUUUUCUUCCAGCAUUUAGCUGGAAAUGUAAGUAGAGACUUCAUAAAGGCACAUCCUCGUUCUUUCAUUCUCUUUUUUUGCUCAUUCUUUAUAAACAUUGCUUUGGGAAAGUAAACCACAAAUUUUGCAGGUUAUAUCUGUGACAUAUAAACUGAGCCUAUCAAAUACUAGAGCUUUUGGUGUAAUAAAAAUGCAUACUAUGUUAUGUUUGUUGUGUUGAGUUAAUAAUGGGGAAUAUCAGCUGUAAUAUUAAAUGACUAACUUUCAAAAGUUAUGCCAAUCAUAUAGCAUAACAGGCCAAUGAAAGAGCAUCAUAGGGCCCUGAGUUCAUGCUUCGUGACUUCUACCUUGUCAAAUAACUAUCCUAUCAAUUUUCCAAUAAUGGCAAAGAGGCCAAAAACACCCAUAUACAAAUUCAAUACUAUUUAUCAAGUUAAUUUCUCAUAAAUAAUAAUUUUGAUAAAUUAAUUUUUACUCUACCUGUAAAUAAAAUUCAUUCAUAUUAAAGAUUCUAAGGUAGCUGAAAAAAUAUAAGUUAAAUGAAUAAUCUAUCAGUAGCUGAAAAUACCUACAACAAUGAUUGGAAUUAUCUAUUGAGAUUGACAUGAGGUCAAUAGUUUACAUAUUUUUAUUUUUAAUUUUUUUUAGUAAUUGUUAAGAGUCAGCCAAUGUACUGGGGUAGGUGUUAUCAAGAAAGGAAUGAAAGAAUGAAAAACAUCACCUACAAAACUCAAAGGAUAAAAAAAAGAAUGAAGACUAUGUUUUUCUAGGCACCUUAUGUUUUGGUAGUCUGGGAGGUCUCAAACUUGACCAUGCAUUAGAAUGACCACAAAGCUUACUCAAAUCAACUUUUAAGCCCAACUCCUAGAGUUCCAGAUUCCCUAUUUCUGGCAUGGGGGUGUGAAAUUUGCAUUUCUAGCAUUGUCCAUAUGCUGCAGAGAAGGCUUGCCCUGGACCCACACUGUGCGAGCAGCUGUGUGAGGAGGGGCACUAUUCUUUAUAUGCUGAGACUCUACUAGCCCAAGCCUUCAACAACCACUUCUGUUUAGUUAUUGCCAAUCAGAGAAAUCUAACGUCUACAUGUCGUUCAAACUGUAUAACUUAGACAAAAUUACUGCUAAAUUUACAAGGUCAAGUAAAUAAAAUUUUCAAUGACAAAGGUUCCUUGUUUACUCUGUGAAAAUAUUUCCUCAGAUUUAUGUCCUAAUUUCCAAUUUCAUCAUUGCUUUAUUUUAACAUAAAGCUUUUCUUUCCAAUCUUUGGUGAACAUCCAGUUUUCCAUAGUCUUUUAACUGUGAUGGCCAGUGGUUCAUUUAUUGCAAUAAUUAAGAUGGAUAACAGCAUGCCAGCUGGAAUGACUGCACUUGUGUUUAGUGUGUAAAUUAUUUCCCUGGGAUGAAAGCCUCUUUUACAACUACUGCUCUGGUCCUGUCUCUUGCAUCCUAAGCCAUUAGCCACAGCAUGUUUCAGAACACUCCUUAUAAAGAAGUUGGUCAUACUUACCAAUUUUUGAUAACUAUUAAUUCAUGUCUACAUGAAUUAAUUCUUAGUACUUGGGAUUUCCCCUUAUAUUUCCUCUGCCAAGGAACAGGGUAGAAAAAUAAAAUAAAAGCCUUCUAAGAUCUGUAAACCUAAUUUCUUGUUAUUUAUUUAUUUAUUUAUUUAUUUAUUUAUUUACAUUCAUAUUUUUAUUUAGUCCCAGUUCUCAACUCUCUGGUUUAUGACUCUAACAAAACCAAGGGCAGUUUACUCUCAAUGGGGAAGAGAAUGCCAAAUGUGAAUUUCUUUUAAGAUUCAUUGGAAAGCCCAUUAAAGUAGAGAUAAAAAAGAUUUGUAAAAAUAUACUACUUAUGGUUGGCUGCUUUUUUUUAAAUUAUUUCAAAAAAAUAAAUGUACUUCAAGUUCUAGAAAAGAGAUUUAUUUAAUUAUUUAAUUAUUUAUUAAUUUCAGUUUAGCUUCAAAGUAAAUUGAAUGCCUGUUGCCUUUCUGGGUUAGUUAGUCUAUGGUUGCUAUGCUUACAAUAUUCAUCUUUCCUUUUAAACAUUACAGAUCUUUAGAAAACUAAAUUAUACUAUAGAAUUUGUCAGAGUGUUAUUAGUACCCAUGUCAAUAGCUAGCUAAAAUGAUUUAGUGACUUAAUAAGGAAUUUCCACAGGCAGUACAUACAUACUGUCACAUGUACAUGCUCUGAUUAGCCUACUCACAUUCAUGGUAUGCAAUCCUUUCCAUUUCUUAUUAGGUUUCUCUGAGGCAAACAAACAAAUAAGCAAUAAACCUAAUGAAAGAAGCCAACAGCUGUACUGAAAUAGUGUCUGUAAUAUUUUUUUUCAGCGUUUUGAGAUUUAAGAGUAAAUCUUGAUAGUGGUAUGAUUUUUGGACUAAUGUUUUCGAUUGUCUUGUCCCGUUCACCCAAACAGUGCAAAACCUGUCUUCCCUGGAAAAUCUAAACGAACUGUUCACACAAAGACAACAAGACUCACUCUGUUUGCAGAACCUUGGCUCCUUUUCAGCAUUUGCCUUGGGCUGGAGAACACAGAGCACUCUCACUUACUGGCUAAAAUUAACUUGCUUAUCAGACAGCCUGCAUCCCUUUGUAUGAAACUGUUCUGAGAGCAGCUAGACUUGUCCUAGAUCUCCACACUCUCGUCCCCACAGCCACUACUUCUCUGUCAAUGACUUGUUACUAUCUUUAUUUUUAUUUACUUCCUACUAUUGCAGGGCUAGGAAUAGAAGCCAAGGCCUGGCCCAUUCAAAAAUCACUCUGGCAAUUAAUAGAUACUCCAACCCAUUUUUGUCUAUAUUUUUAUGAUGAAUUUACACGUUACUCCUCUUCUUAAACCAUAGCAGCUGACUGAAGUAACUACAUUGUGUUGCAUAAGAUAAUAAAAUACUGUAGGCAAAUUUAAAUAACCUAAGGACGAAUGAGAAACUAAAUAUUGUUAUUUUGGAUCCUCACCACUACGAUGGACUGUGUUUCUUAGAGUAUUUUGGAAGUAUUUGAGGCUUUUUAUUCUGCCGAUAUAAAAUAGAUGUAGGGUUUUCCUUUUGUUGUUUUUGUUGUUUGUUCAUUUUUAAAAUUAGGUUUUAAAACUUAUCUUUGAAAGCCAAAUGUCUAAACGUUCUAGGUGUCAUUUCAUUUCUGAGUAGCAAAUUAAAGGAUUGCCAUUCAAGUAUUUUAACUGAAUUUUAAAUUUUAUUGCUUAGGGUGUUAAGGAAUCCAGAGAAAUGGACUAAUCCCACAUAAUAUAUCAUUUACACUUAUAUAAUGAGUUUACUAAUGCCAUUUUGAAACAGACAUUUGAAGCUAUGAUACAGAUAACAGAAGAAUGUUAAAAGAUCUUACCCAUGUUAGCAGAGUUGGCAAAAGGCUCGGAAUGCAUAGAGAUGCAUAGAACGUGUCUAUGUGGAGGGGUUGAGGCGUCCAUAGUAAAGCAGAGAUAUUAACUUAUUCAUUUUAGAUACUUUACAUAGAUUAAUGACCAAUUUCUGCUCUCACUAUCUUUGCCAUAUGUAUUUGAGACAUUUGAUUGUUGUUGUUGUUUGGUUGGUUGGUUGGUUUCCAUCUGUAAAAUAGGGAAAGUAAUAUCUGUCUCACAAUGGAGAUAUUGACUAUUCAGAAUGUGUGCUAUGAAAAGG
rnacentral:lncRNA from 1 species